GAUUCAGAAUCCAAGGCUACAGGAGGUAAUAAGGCCUUUGGGAGGGCCUGCCUCUCCUCCUCAGCUCCCCCCACACCCCCCCCAAUGUGUGGGUCUCCAUCCUGAGAUUUCCAUUCAGG
rnacentral:lncRNA from 1 species